rnacentral:rRNA from 1 species
AUACAGAGGGUGCGAGCGUUAAUCGGAAUUACUGGGCGUAAAGCGCGCGUAGGCGGCUACUUAAGUCAGAUGUGAAAUCCCCGGGCUCAACCUGGGAACUGCAUCUGAUACUGGGUAGCUAGAGUUUUGGAGAGGGAAGUAGAAUUUCAGGUGUAGCGGUGAAAUGCAUAGAGAUCUGAAGGAAUACCAGUGGCGAAGGCGACUUCCUUGCCAAAAACUGACGCUGAGGUGCGAAAGCGUGGGUAGCAAACGGGAUUAGAAACCCGAGUAGUCC